rnacentral:rRNA from 1 species
GACGAGGGGUCCUAGCGUUGUUCGGAAUCAUUGGGCGUAAAGCGCGUGUAGGCGGUCCGGUAAGUCCGCUGUGAAAGUCGGGGGCUCAACCCUCGGAUGCCGGUGGAUACUGUCGGGCUUGAGUACGGAAGAGGCGAGUGGAAUUCCUGGUGUAGCGGUGAAAUGCGCAGAUAUCAGGAGGAACACCAAUUGCGAAGGCAGCUCGCUGGGACGUUACUGACGCUGAGACGCGAAAGCGUGGGGAGCAAACAGG